rnacentral:rRNA from 1 species
UACGUAGGGACCAAGCGUUGUUCGGAUUUACUGGGCGUAAAGGGCGCGUAGGCGGCGUGACAAGUCACUUGUGAAAUCUCUGGGCUUAACCCAGAACGGCCAAGUGAAACUGUUGUGCUAGAGUGCAGAAGGGGCAAUCGGAAUUCUCGGUGUAGCGGUGAAAUGCGCAGAUAUCAGGAGGAACACCGGUGGCGAAGGCGGGUCUCUGGGCCGAUACUGACGCUGAGGAGCGAAAGCGUGGGGAGCGAACAGG